GCCAAAACGCGGAAGCAACGUGGAUUUUACGUGCCUACGUUUAUGUCAAACACAUCGUGAUUGGCUCAUGAAGGAGCAGAUACGUGAAACACGCUGCACAUAGCCAUAUGGAGAAAGUAGGUGAGUGUUGAUCAUUUGUUUGGUACCUAUUCCCCCAAGAGGGGUGCCAGUGUCCUGAUGCUGACCAGUGCCACCGGUUCCGCCACUUGGUUCCUGCUGGAGCCUUAGCACCAACUGGAUGAGGGGACUCCUCUCUGUGUUGAAUUCCCGGCUGUCUAAGGCUUUGAAGUGGAGAGUGGUGUCAAACUACAAGACCGCCAGCAUGUAAACAAGGCCUUGUUUGUCCUUGUUUGGCUACUCACCACUCUUCUAAUUCCUGAAGAGGCUGAAGCAUGCUGGCCUUGACACCUCAGUCCUUGCUUCCAUUAACAGCUGUGUUAUGGUCUACUGCAACGGGUGGAUAAGGAGGGCAAAUGACAGGCAGUGUGCUGUGAGGACUGCUGCCCUGAUUCAUACGGAAGAACCAAGCCCGCAAGAUGGUGUUAUCAAGCACACAGAAGGGGGGAAUAUAGCUUAUUGUACCUUAAAUGACAAGUGCUCAUCACAAGCAUUCCAAAAAUAUAUGAUUUAGGCUACUUAAUGUGAUCUGUCUUCGAGUUACACCCUAAAAACUACCAACACUGUCAAAAGUGUCCGUCAAUGCAAACGGUGGCAUCCUCCUGGCAGAUGGUGUUAUCAAGCACACAGAAGGGUGGAAUAUAGUUUAUUGUACCUUAAAUGACAAGUACUCAUCACAAGCAUUCCAAAAAUGUAUGAUUUAGGCUACUUAAUGUGAUCUGUCUUCGAGUUACACCCUACAAACUACCAACACUGUCAAAAGUGUCAGUCAAUGCAAACGGUCGCGUCCUCCUGGCAGAUGGUGUUAUGAAGCACACAGAAGGGUGGAAUAUAGCUUAUUGUACCUUAAAUGACAAGCACUCAUCACAAGCAUUCCAAAAAUAUAUGAUUUAAAUUACUUAAUGUGAUCUGUCUUCGAGUUACACCCUAAAAACUACCAACACUGUCAAAAGUGUCCGUCAAUGCAAACGGUGGCAUCCUCCUGGCAGAUGGUGUUAUCAAGCACACAGAAGGGUGGAAUAUAGUUUAUUGUACCUUAAAUGACAAGUACUCAUCACAAGCAUUCCAAAAAUGUAUGAUUUAGGCUACUUAAUGUGAUCUGUCUUCGAGUUACACCCUAAAAACUACCAACACUGUCAAAAGUGUCCGUGAAUGCAAACGGUGGCAUCCUCCUGGCAGAUGGUGUUAUCAAGCACACAGAAGGGUGGAAUAUAGCUUAUUGUACUUUAAAUGACAAGUACUCAUCACAAGCAUUCCAAAAAUAUAUGAUUUAAAUUACUUAAUGUGAUCUGUCUUCGAGUUACACCCUAAAAACUACCAACACUGUCAAAAGUGUCCGUCAAUGCAAACGGUCGUGUCCUCCUGGCAGAUGGUGUUAUCAAGCACACAGAAGGGUGGAAUAUAGCUUAUUGUACCUUAAAUGACAAGUACUCAUCACAAGCAUUCCAAAAAUAUAUGAUUUAGGCUACUUAAUGUGAUCUGUCUUCGAGUUACACCCUAAAAACUACCGGUGUUCAAAAGUAUCCGUCAAUGCAAACGGUCACGGCCCACUGGCAGAUGGUGUUAAUAAGCACACAGAAGGGUGGAAUAUAGCUUAUUAUAGCUUAAAUCACAUCUACAUUCUACAGGCAUUCCAAGAAUAUAUAGUUUAGGCUACUUACAUUUAUCUGUCCCCAUGUUACACCCUAAAAGCUACCCGUGUUCAAAAGCAUCCGUCGAUGCAAACGGUCACGGCCCACUGGCAGAUGGUGUUAACAAGCACACAGAAGGGUGGAAUAUAACUUAUUAUAGCUUAAAUCACAUCUACACUCUACAGGCAUUCCAAAAAUAUAUGAUUGAGGCCACUUAAACUGAUCUGUCCCCAUGUUACACCCAGAAUUGGUAAUGCCUUUUUUUCUGUUACUGGUAAUUUAGGCCCAUGGCAUCUUGAGGCCUUUUGGACAGAGGAGAGGACGACCGAGCUGGUUAACCUCUACACAAAUAGAUGCACGUCAAGUGAUGCUUUGGGGAGUGAGACCGCCGGUAUACCCACCUACAGUAUAUUGAUCCUGACAUCAGUGCCAAAUAUUUCUUGAUAAUAAUAAUAAUAAUAAUACCUCAGUUUUUUAUAGCGCUUUUCUGGGUACCCAAAGACGCUUGAUGGCAAUUGGUCGAAAAAAGCACGGGUGUAUCAUGGCCCAAAUAUGCUGAGGAAUGCAGGCUGCCUUGGUGGGCUUAGGAGUUGCCUUUCACUUCAGUCAGUGACGGAAAAGGUCCAGGACGUAAGGCUUUUACAGCUGAAAAGCUGAGACAGCUUGUGCAGUCCUACAAUGCACAUGUCAAUGAUCAGCUGUUUGUUGAGGCAGCGGCAGCAGAUGCAGCACCAACACCACCAGCAGCAGCAGUGGCAGGAGCAGCACCACCAGCACCACCAGCACCACCAGCACUAUAAAUGCCAGCAGCGGCAGAUUAUAAAGAAGGAUAACAAUUAAUACAUGAAAUUAGAGUGGGAAGUUGUGCUUUUAUGUUUCAUGUUUAUGGUUUUAUAUAUAUAUGCACCUUACUUGAGCGUCUCUACAAAUUCAUUAUACUGCAAUGCAAUUACAAUAAAGGCAUUAAUUUGUCAUUUCAGUUUGUAUUACUACAUUCAUUUAGCCUGGGUGCCAGCCAAACUUAGCCCUUUCCACAACAUUUCAGGUCGGGAAGUUCGGUCUGGAAUUGCUCCAUUGUGGCACAAAUAUGCUCGAACCAGAGCUGUUCGGACCAAUGUGUGUGUAUGUUUGUAAAAGACAUAGAUUCAUCUGAAUGCUGUAGACUGUCUUAGUAAACAUACAUUCAUGAUUUGCAUAGACAGGCAGACCUUGAUUGCACCUUAGGGUUACGUGAGUUAUGUUCAUAUAGACUGCACUCUGGCUAUGGUCAGACAGUUUUGCAUGCGCACAAGUUGAUGACUCGGACCAACCACCUCAGAAUACAAAUUUUCUGCUUGUUUCUCAUGUUUACAUGUGUUGUGAUAAAUAAACAUGAUUUGCAGGUCAGUUUUGACCUACAGUAUGUGACAGCCUUGAAAAGUACCAUCCAGACAGCUAUUCGGUUUAGUUUUCAGACAGUUUUGUAUGCACACAAGUUGAUGAACCAUUAAAAUAAAUAUUUGGA